rnacentral:lncRNA from 1 species
GAGAAAUUGCAUCGAUCACUCCAAAGUUUCUUCUGAGGCACUGAAAGCUCUGUUUUGAGCACUUCUCCCACUCACUGUCUUCUUUUACUGUGGUGCCUUCAGGUAACUAAGAGCUGACCGGCAUGUGGCAGUUGGGCGACCGGACCAGCCGGGAAGAUUUCUGGCCUGUUGCUGAAACCCAGGCCGGUCUGUCCCUGAACCGCCACGGGAACCGGACAAAGAACCGGCGCCGUAGAAGGAGAAGUGGGGGCGGCUGCGUCCGUGGCCUCCCCCCGUUUCCUCCUCUUCGGUGAGGAGGAGGAGGAGGAGUAGGAGGCGGAGGAGCUGUAGGAAGAUGACGAGGUCGAGGAAGAGUAGGAGGAGCUGGGCUCCGGAGAGGCUCGCUUCGAAGGGGACGGCACAGGGGAAGUGGCCCUGGCCGCAGCCUCCUCGGAGCCGAUCCGGAGCGGGAAGUUGAGCAGGGCCCGGGAGCCCCGCAUCCGGUAGGCGGCGCGGUCGUAGGCGAGGGCCG